GUGGAUCGAAGAAGGGGCGCCUUUCAGCAACCCCUUCUUGCCGAACUGGGGGGAGAAGUUCCACCAGUCCUUCGUCGAAGGAUGGCGCUUGAAGGUAUAGAAGUGCCUAAACAAGGAGAGGGACGGUUGGACCUUGACUACGUGGUAGAGGGAGAGAAAUCCUAUCAAGAACCUAAAAGAAUUCGGGGCCACGGAAGCCA
rnacentral:lncRNA from 1 species